rnacentral:lncRNA from 1 species
AGAAUUAUGUUGUCCUUAUUUGUUCUUUAAAAAAUAGUAUUUAAUGUUUUUUGUUAUUUUAAGAAAAUUUUAGGUAAAAAUUAUAAGAAAUAGAUAGAAUAGUAACGGAACACUAACGAAGGGGGGCUAAAUGUAUCAAUUUAAAAUUUUGAGAGGGUAAAAUAUAGGUUUUUAAAAGUUAAGGAAUAAAAGUGAAAAAGUAGUAUUUACAGAAGAAUUUUCUAUAUUUUAGCCUUAAAUAUUAAAACAAAAGAGAGUGAUAUGACUGGUGAGAAAUUAUAAAGUUUUUCUUUCAACUUGCCUAUCUAAGGUUCAAAGUUUUUCUCACUAGUCAUAAUUUUUUUUAAUAUUAAAAUCUUAAAAAAAUGGCCAAUUUCAUAAAAAAUCCACUAGUUUCGCGCUUUUGCAAAAGUUGGCCAUUGUUUUUUCUCUUAAACUACACCCUUUAAGAGGAGAAACAGUAUAACAAGAAGAAAAAUAGUGCAACAAGAGGAAAAACAGUGCAACAAGAAGAGAAACAGUAUAAAUAUCUCUUAAAGAGAUACAGUUUACAUCUCAAAGGAUGUAAGAAGAGGAAAACAGUGUAAAUAUCUCUCAAAAAGUGCAACUUUCAUUUAAAGAGUGUAAUUUUUAUCUUAAUGGAUGCAGUUUAUAUCUAAAAGAGUGCAAUAAGAAAAAAAAUAGUGUAAAUAUCUCUCAAAGAGUGCAAUUUUCGUUUAAAGAGUGU